rnacentral:lncRNA from 1 species
AACACUUCCUUCUACAUCGGGCGCCGUCGCCUCAACUGCGCGUGGGGGGCGAGGCGCCCACCCCGCACAAGAACAGAGGAGCGGGGGAGAAGAGACGGCCUCGCUGCUCACUGGGUAAGCGGAGCCCAGCCCCGCUCGGGAGCGGGCAGGAGAGACAGGGUAGUGACCCCCACUCACACCAGAAAACCCCUCCCCCCGGCGAUUUUGCUGCCAACUCGAGUCGGCUACAGACAGUCCAGUGAGUCCUUAAUUACAAGGACGAGAGAAAAGCACGGUGCCCCUCGAGUCCUCUCCGCCCCCUCGGUCCUAACCCCCGCCCAGGCUCCAGGUCUUCCCCUUUGUGUGGCCUGGACUCUCUCCCAGCUACGACUUUGGUGGGAUCCAAAAGGAAGGAGGUGGCGGGGCCUACGGAAGAGGAUACCCAGGAGCCAGGGAGAAGGGCUAGAAAACGAAUAAUGUGACUCCAGAGGCGGAACCCCGACCCCCUCUAUUUCCCACCCCGGCUUCACCCGGAGACGAAAGCUGUGGGCAUCUUCAGUUUAACGGACUUCGCGGAAAAGGAGAGAAGGGGGGCGAGGGAAAUGGCAGUUUGUGUCCCAGGGGUUCUUCCCCUUCUUCUUGCCGCCUCCUAAAGACAAACAAACUCAACCCCCCACCCUCCGGGGUAUCAGGGAACUCGUGGGACCGUGAAAAAGUCGUUCCCAAAUCCGGCCGCCUGCGGACGUCGGACUUCCGCGGGGCCGGCGCCCGUUGGCGUCUGUAGCUCGGCGCAGCCACGCGGGGCUCCAGCGAGCGGGGUCCGCCACCCCUCGCGCCCUCCUGCGGCUUUCCCAGCGCUGGGCCAGUGCAGGCCGAGCCCUGCGUCCCUGCCUCGCUGGGUGGGGGUCCGGGGCGCGGCUGUCCACAGGGCCGCCUCCUCCUGCGGCCCGCGGGGAAGGGGCGCAUCCCACCCCGCUCUGCAGGCCGCCCUUCUGCCAGCUGGGAGGCGAGGGCACACGUCCUAAGGCUGCCCAAGGGGGAGAGGAAUCGCGCCGGUAGGAGAGCGCACGGGAACCAGGAACGCAAGGCGGGCACAGGGGAGCCGAAGGAGCCAGACAGGGCCCGGCCACGCGCCCUCCUCGCUCGGCUGCGCUCCGUGACGGGAACCCAGGCUCCCACGCACGGGGAAUGCCUAGAACGGAGCUAGAAUGGAGGCCCCUUUGUGUGACUAAAUUUGGCAAGAAUAUGGAUCUGAGCCAGUCUUUCCACGUGUGCUCCCAGCUCCCAGCUGAGAAGGCCAAGGGUUCUCUUCCGGAUGCAGCCUUUUUGAAAUUUAUUCUUGGCCAAAAGAGGAAGAUAGUUCAAGGAUUCUAUCUUGCUUUUGGGGGGCAAUGGAGAAACCCUGAAAACACUUAAGGAAAACCUGAGGCCUUCUAUAAGAAAAUAAACUCCCUGAAAGGGGAGGCAGGGCCAAGGAAUUUACUUAUUUUUAUAAAUCUCUUUCCUGGGUGGAUAUGGUAAUGGAUGUGUUUCUUGAAUUGUGGUAAAUGUACCUCAUAAAAUGGAUGGACUGGGGCUAUAUUCUCAGGCUUCCUGGGCUCUGUUGGCAUUGGGCAAGCACGUAAUGCCUGGUUUGAGGCUAGAAGCCAAAGCCACAACCUUCUUGCAGUACCAACUGAGCCAUAGGGAGAUUAAUGCAGAACAAGGUCGUUAGUCUCAUUGUUUAUCCAGUUACUAGCCGCAUAGAUUUUGUGUAAAUUUCAGCUACAGUGGUUGCAGCCUGCCUUUGAUGUGUGUAAUCUGUACAUUUUAGUGCUCCAGGAAAGUACCUGAUUGACAAGAUCUACAUCCAAUGCCCAGAAAACACAUCCUACACAGGCACAGUGAAGCGUGGAGUUGAAGAAUUUUCCAGUGAGUUCCAUCAAAGUAAAUAAACCAACCUAGAGCAUC